GAUAGUUGUAGAGAGAGAGAGACUGGGUUAGAGAUUUCAAUUUGAUAGUUGUAGGGAGAGAGACUGGGUUAGAGAGAGAGAGGGUUCUUGCGUUUUUGAGAGAGGGCGAAAUGGUGACUGUACGGCGCCAAUUGUUGACCUUCGGGCGACACACCGCCGCUGCCGGCACCGGCUAUUGCAGAAUGUUGAGGAAUCUUCGCUCGUUCGAUCUCAGGAGGAAAAAGAUCAGCGCCAAUAGGGAGCUCAGACGCUCAGUUUACAACCAAUAUCUUGAAGCUCGCAGGGAAGGUCUGGCGUCCGAGGCGCGAUUUCUUCAGAUUAUAAGUGGUGAUAGGAUUCGACCGACUUGUUUUGCGGAGGGCUAUGCUGACGAAUUCCGAGUUAGCAGUGCAAGGGAGAUUGAUUACAUCUUGGAAGACUAUCCAGUUGGGAUUCUGAUUUCUUGCUUCGAUCAUGUUCCGUGGAGAGAGAGGAAGAAGAUCCGACUGGCUGCACACGCAAGAUUCUUCGAUUACACUUCUGCAGGGAGGAUCUAUGGACUGGCACGGCAAGGCAGAGCAGGAGGAAUAGGGUUCUGAUUUCAGUGGGUACUUGGUCUGAUUGGCUGCUGGGCAACAAGAGGUCUUAAACUGUAUUUCCUUUUUCUACAAAAACACUGUACAUGAUUGAGCAACAGGGGUUGACAUCGUAGUUGUUUUUGGAUUUCGACUGCAUUUUUUUUCCUAAAACUCUGUACAUGGCAUGGCUGAGCAACAGGGUGUACUUGGUCUGAUUGGCUGCUGGACAACAAGAGGUCUUAAAACUGUAUUCUUUUUUCUACAAAAACACUGUACAUGAUUGAGCAACAGGGGUUGACAUUGUAGUUGUUUUUGGAUUUCGACUGCAUUUUUUUUCCUAUAACUCUGUACAUGGCAUGGCUGAGCAACAGGGUAUGUUGAUACAAUAGUCAAUUCAAUUCUGGAUAUGUGCUGGUAUGGCACUGUGGCAUUUGUAGGAAAUUGGUGUUGAUAUGGUAAUUGUUAGGGCAUGUUACAUAAGUUCUGCUGGAGUAGGGGUAAAUAAAAGCGAUGGAUUGUGAUCUGUUAGAUCUGGUUCCAUGUUGCUAAUGCUAAUUUCUCAUACGAAUCUAUAAUUAGAAUAUUACUUAGUUUCUUCUCUGUUCAAAGUUGUAAAUAAAGUUUAUGCAGACAACUUUGUAUAGUUAUAAGUGGAGUACUAGUCGAAUUAGGACUUUUAAGUCAAAAACUGUACCUAAGUAUGAA